rnacentral:rRNA from 1 species
AUACGGGAGGCAGCAGUGAGGAAUAUUGGUCAAUUGGCGCAAGCCUGAACCAGCCAUGCCGCGUGAAGGAUGAAGGCGCUAUGCGUUGUAAACUUCUUUUGUACGGGACGAAACUACAUUACGUGUAAUGUACUGACGGUACCGUGCGAAUAAGCAACGGCUAACUCCGUGCCAGCAGCCGCGGUAAUACGGAGGUUGCAAGCGUUAUCCGGAUUUAUUGGGUUUAAAGGGUGCGUAGGCGGAAUGGUAAGUCAGUGGUGAAAUCCUGUAGCUUAACUACAGAACUGCCAUUGAUACUGUCGUUCUUGAGUAUAGUUGAAGUAGGCGGAAUGUGUAAUGUAGCGGUGAAAUGCUUAGAUAUUACACAGAACUCCAAUUGCGUAGGCAGCUUACUAAACUAAAACUGACGCUGAGGCACGAAAGCGUGGGGAGCAAACAGGAUUAGAUACCCUAGUAGUCU